rnacentral:rRNA from 1 species
UUGAACGCUGGCGGCCGGCCUAACACAUGCAAGUCGCGCGGAUGAAGGGAGCUUGCUCCUGGAUUCAGCGGCGGACGGGUGAGUAAUGCCUAGGAAUCUGCCUGGUAGUGGGGGAUAACGUCCGGAAACGGGCGCUAAUACCGCAUACGUCCUGAGGGAGAAAGUGGGGGAUCUUCGGACCUCACGCUAUCAGAUGAGCCUAGGUCGGAUUAGCUAGUUGGUGGGGUAAAGGCCUACCAAGGCGACGAUCCGUAACUGGUCUGAGAGGAUGAUCAGUCACACUGGAACUGAGACACGGUCCAGACUCCUACGGGAGGCAGCAGUGGGGAAUAUUGGACAAAGGGCGAAAGCCUGAUCCAGCCAUGCCGCGUGUGUGAAGAAGGUCUUCGGAUUGUAAAGCACUUUAAGUUGGGAGGAAGGGCAGUAAGUUAAUACCUUGCUGCUUUGACGUUACCAACAGAAUAAGCACCGGCUAACUUCGUG